rnacentral:rRNA from 1 species
GACGAACGCUGGCGGCGUGCUUAACACAUGCAAGUCGAACGGAAAGGCCCUGCUUUUGUGGGGUGCUCGAGUGGCGAACGGGUGAGUAACACGUGAGUAACCUGCCCUUGACUUUGGGAUAACUUCAGGAAACUGGGGCUAAUACCGGAUAGGAGCUCCUGCUGCAUGGUGGGGGUUGGAAAGUUUCGGCGGUUGGGGAUAGACUCGCGGCUUAUCAGCUUGUUGGUGGGGUAGUGGCUUACCAAGGCUUUGACGGGUAGCCGGCCUGAGAGGGUGACCGGCCACAUUGGGACUGAGAUACGGCCCAGACUCCUACGGGAGGCAGCAGUGGGGAAUAUUGCACAAUGGGCGGAAGCCUGAUGCAGCAACGCCGCGUGCGGGAUGACGGCCUUCGGGUUGUAAACCGCUUUAGCCUGUGACGAAGCGUGAGUGACGGUAAUGGGUAAAGAAGCACCGGCUAACUACGUG